CAGGAGAUCCCACGCCAGACCUCGGGGAAUGACUGUGGUGUUUUCAUGCUCAUGUACUCCCUCUGGCUCUGUACGGACACUACUUUUCACUACAGUGUGCUGGACAUGCAGUCAAUCCGGCAUUGGUGGUGUGUCCUUCUAAUGGAGCGCUUUGGCAUUGAAGGGUAGGACAACUUCUUGAAAUAUCUGAUGUAUUGUUUAUCAUGAUUAGUAACUGCCUGCGAUGAGGUGGCGACUUGUCCAGGGUGUACCCUGCCUUCCGCCCGAAUGCAGCUGAGAUAGGCUACAGCGACCCCCCGCGACCCCAAAAAGGGACAAGCGGUAGAAAAUG